rnacentral:rRNA from 1 species
AGCAGCCGCGGUAAUUCCAGCUCCAAUAGCGUAUAUUAAAGUUGUUGCAGUUAAAAAGCUCGUAGUUGAAUUUCGGGGUCAGUAGGUUGGUCGUGCCACUGGUAUGUACUGGUCUCACUGAUUCCUCCUUCCUGAUGAACCGUAAUGCCAUUAAUUUGGUGUUGCGGGGAAUCUGGACUGUUACUUUGAAAAAUUUAGAGUAGUUUAAAGCAGGCUAACGCUUGAAUACAUUAGCAUGGAAUAAUGAAAUAGGACGUUCGAUCUUAUUUUGUUGGUUCCUAAGAUUGACGUAAUGAUUAAUAGGGAUAGUUGGGGGCAUUAGUAUUCGAAUUGUCAGAGGUGAAAUUCUUGGAUUUAUUGAAGACUAACUACUGCGAAAGCAUUUGCCAAGGAUGUUUUCAUUAAUCAAAGAACGAAAGUUAGGGGAUCGAAGACGAUCAGAUACCGUCGUAGUCUUAACCAUAAACCUAUGCCGACUAGGGAUCGGAUGAUGUUAAUUUUUAUGACUCAUUCGCGCCUU